rnacentral:rRNA from 1 species
AUGCAAAGCCUCUUGGUGGAUGUUAAUCGCAUUCGCAAUCUUUCCACCAAAAAUGCCUUUAUUGCUCAUGAAACUUCUCGACGCACAUGGAAAGGGCUGACGCUGAUGUGUUCUGAAGAUGAUCUUCAAGAGGAUGGCUUCUCUGAGCGCUUCAAGUUUGACUCCACACCUCCUCGAAGGGCAGUGCUGCGACGAACUCCAUCUCUUGAAGACUCUGAGUUCUCUUCCUCUGCUGCCACUGUAAAUGCCAGAGUGAUCGAGGAUGACGACGAUGCUACUUCACCGCCGCCUCCUUCAGCACGCUUCGACACUGCUCCAAGCUCUUCUACACCGCCGAACACCACCGACGACCCUGCUGCUUCACCUACUCUUCAUGGGAACGAGUAG